rnacentral:rRNA from 1 species
ACUCAUAUCCAUAACACCUGUGCACUUGUCGGAUGGCUUAGUGAAGACCGCAAGGUUGGAACUAUCCAUCUACUUUACAUAACAAUUCUGUAACAAAUGUAGUCUUAUUAUAACAUAAUAAAACUUUCAACAACGGAUCUCUUGGCUCUCGCAUCGAUGAAGAACGCAGCGAAAUGCGAUAAGUAAUGUGAAUUGCAGAAUUCAGUGAAUCAUCGAAUCUUUGAACGCACCUUGCGCUCCUUGGUAUUCCGAGGAGCAUGCCUGUUUGAGUGUCAUGAAAACCCUCAACCUUAGAUUGGUUAUUUGACCCUUCUUUGGCUUGGAUUUGGACGUUUGCCGAUGAUAAGUCGGCUCGUCUUAAAAGUAAUAGCUGGAUCUGUCUCGCGACAUGGUUUGACUUGGCGUAAUAAGUAUUUCGCUAAGGACAUCUUCGGAUGGCCGCGUUGCAGGACUAAAGACCGCUUUCUAAUCCAUUGAUCUUCGGAUUAAUAUCUUGACAUCUGGCCUCAAAUCAGGUAGGACUACCCGCUGAACUUAAGCAUAUCAAU